GCGACCCCAGGAUGGGCGAGGCCACCCGCCGAGUUUAAGCAUAUAAAUAAGCGGAGG
rnacentral:rRNA from 1 species